CAUUUAAGAAAGGAAAAAGGAUCCAACUGUAAAUUACGACACAACAGCCAAACGGAUCCCGUCGAUAAAGUUUUAAAGGUUACUUCAAAAAAUAAAAAAAUCAAAAUCAAAAUUCAAAAGCCGUUUGCUUUUUUUUUUUUUUUGAAAUUUCCAUGGCGGACGAAAAUGAGAUCAUCGAUAUAUAUAGCUCGGAUGAGGAAGACGAAGAAGAUGAUGAUAUCGAUAGCGAGAGUAGCGAAGAAGAUGAAGAUCGGAAUCUGAGUGGAGAUGGUAGCGAAUCAAGCGAAGAUGAUUAUACUGAUUCGAAUUCGGAUUCUGAUGACGAUGAAGAAGAUGAUGAUGAUGAUGAUGAUGAUAACGAAGAAGAAGACUCUCUUGUAGAUAAAGUCACUCGUCUACUCAAAGGGAAACAAGAUUGACUCAUAAACAUUUCUUAGCUGGGAAGCUUUUUUAAGGGUAAAAGAUAGGAGCAUUAAAGAAGCAGUUUAUCAAAGAUCAUCUACUGCUAAGUUUGAGUAGAAAACCAAAGCAUGAGAAGGUCUGCAUACUUGUGGUUCCCCGAGCAGCGAAGAAUUGUGAUCUUGUUCCGAAUUGUUUUCCCUAUCAUUUGGCUAAGGCGAGGAGCUGGGAUGUGAGCUUCGCCAUGUCUGCGGUUGUUCCGUUCUCUCCAAAUGCUAGCUCCGAAGAAGGAUUUAUAAACUUGUGUUUGAAUCACUCAUAAGUUCGAGAAGUUCUUUUCAUAUAUGAUUGUACUAAAGCCUACUCCGAGCGAACUAACCCGUUGCCAAUGGUUAUGCAUACCGGUAUUCAUGAUUUUUGGGGUGGCAUGUAACUUCUUUAACUCACUGUUCCUGGUCUAGUUUCGCUUCUUUACGCAGUACAAUAACACAUGCUAGCUUGUGUAUUAAAGAAAACUCUCAAUGUGUUCUUGUCAACACUGCUUAUCAGUACUCUUAUUUUGUUAUUCUAUAAAUAUAAGAGACUCUUUGAUGA